GGUGGGCGUGGUGCUGCACACCUGUAAUCCCAGCAACUCUGGGAGGCCAAGGCAGGAGGAUUGCAAGUUACAAUUUAGUGAGACCCUGUCUCAA
rnacentral:sRNA from 1 species